rnacentral:rRNA from 1 species
GAUGAACGCUAGCGGCAGGCCUAAUACAUGCAAGUCGAGGGAGAAUGUUGGAUUCGUCUGACAUGAAACCGGCGCACGGGUGCGUAACACGUAUGCAACCUACCUUUAACUGGGGUACAGCUCAGAGAAAUCUGAAUUAAUCCCCCAUAAGACUACGACAUGGCAUCAUGAUGUAGUUAAAGCUCCGGCGGUUAAGGAUGGGCAUGCGGUACAUUAGCUAGUUGGCGAGGUAAUGGCUCACCAAGGCUACGAUGAAUAGGGGGUCUGAGAGGAUGAUCCCCCAGACUGGUACUGAGACACGGACCAGACUCCUACGGGAGGCAGCAGUAGGGAAUAUUGGUCAAUGGACGCAAGGCUGAACCAGCCAUGCCGCGUGAAGGAUGAAGGCCCUAUGGGUCGUAAACUUCUUUUAUUAGGGAAGAAAAAACGGGAUGCGUCCUGUACUGACGGUACUUAAUGAAUAAGGAUCGGCUAACUUCGUGCCAGCCGCCGCCGUAA